rnacentral:lncRNA from 1 species
AGAUGCGAGCCGGCCCCAGCCUUGCCACGUCAGAAGGGACAGAGCGGAUCGUCUCGGGAAGAGUGGUGGUUUCCUUGGCUGCUCAGAGGUGCUGAGGCACGGCCUGGCCUGGUGGCCCCAGCGUCUGCCUGGGGGGUUCUGCAGGAUGGAUAGCCGGCCCCGCCAACCCAGUGUUCAGACUACCUGUUCAGGAGGCUCUCAAUGUGUACAGUAGUCUGCACAUUGGUUAGGC